UACGAGGGGGGCAAAUGUUGUUCGGAUUCAUUGGGCGUAAAGGGUGCGUAGGCGGCGCGGUAAGUCGGGUGUGAAAUCUCGGGGCUUAACUCCGAAACUGCAUUCGAUACUGCCGUGCUUGAGGACUGGAGAGGAGACUGGAAUUUACGGUGUAGCGGUGAAAUGCGUAGAUAUCGUAAGGAAGACCAGUGGCGAAGGCGGGUCUCUGGACAGUUCCUGACGCUGAGGCACGAAGGCCAGGGGAGCAAACGGG
rnacentral:rRNA from 1 species